rnacentral:ncRNA from 1 species
CAUUCCGAGGAGCGUUGCAACGGGUGGGCACUGCCCCAACCGCCAGGCUCGGAAGUUCAAACGGCGCUCGCAGUAU